AUUUCCUCUACCAUCCAGCUCCUCAGACGCCCCCAGAACCCUUUGUGCUGGGCCCAGGAGGUGGCAGGAUGGUUUCCCUGGGUGCCUGGAGGGGCGAGUGAUGAAGCCCAUCUGACUUACUUGGAGAUGGGGAUGGGAGAGAGCGCACAGCCCCACUCAGACAGCUGGGGGCGACCUCUCACUCCCUUCUAGGGUUCAGACCUACAGCAGGGAUCCCCUGGGGCUGGGGUAACAGACUCUGCCUGUGUGGGAUUAGAAGGAGGGGUUCUCAUCCCCCCACUGGGUCUCUCCUCCAUUCCUUACAUCCCUUGCUGUUGCAGGUGAACACACGGCGGCUGAGUACAGCGCCCCCUGCGGCUCAGCCCCUGACGCCGACAUGAUGGGAAAUUCCCGCUGAAGCCCCCGCCCCUUCCGUCCCGAGAGCGCCGCACCGGCAGCCGACACCCCAGGAUCGGGGGGGCACGGACAGGCCUCGUCUCAGCUUCUGCUCUUCCCCGAACCAGCUGCACUACCCCCCUUAGCACCUUCUUCAGCCAAUGCCUCCCCGUUCGCUCUGCAAACAUCCCACCUGCUCUCCCAUCUCUCAGCCUCCAGACCGGCCCGCGUGAUCCCAGCUGUCUGUCACACGCGGGGACCAGUGGCUGCAGUGGGGACCCCUGGGGUUUGCUGCCCAUCCUGCCUGGAGAGGCAGGUUCAGUGUAAAACAAAAUAAUAAACCUGCCAUGUCUUUG